GUUUAAAUAGCUUAAAUAGAGUUUUACUCUGAAGAUGUAAAGGUGGUAUUAAUACCUUUAAACA
rnacentral:tRNA from 1 species